UGCAGUCGACGGUAACAGGUCUUCGGACGCUGACGAGUGGCGAACGGGUGAGUAAUACAUCGGAACGUGCCCAGUCGUGGGGGAUAACUACUCGAAAGAGUAGCUAAUACCGCAUACGAUCUGAGGAUGAAAGCGGGGGACCUUCGGGCCUCGCGCGAUUGGAGCGGCCGAUGGCAGAUUAGGUAGUUGGUGGGAUAAAAGCUUACCAAGCCGACGAUCUGUAGCUGGUCUGAGAGGACGACCAGCCACACUGGGACUGAGACACGGCCCAGACUCCUACGGGAGGCAGCAGUGGGGAAUUUUGGACAAUGGGCGAAAGCCUGAUCCAGCAAUGCCGCGUGCAGGAUGAAGGCCUUCGGGUUGUAAACUGCUUUUGUACGGAACGAAAAAGCUUCUCCUAAUACGAGAGGCCCAUGACGGUACCGUAAGAAUAAGCACCGGCUAACUACGUGCCAGCAGCCGCGGUAAUACGUAGGGUGCGAGCGUUAAUCGGAAUUACUGGGCGUAAAGCGUGCGCAGGCGGUUAUGUAAGACAGAUGUGAAAUCCCCGGGCUCAACCUGGGAACUGC
rnacentral:rRNA from 1 species